rnacentral:rRNA from 1 species
AUAAUGAGUUUUACCUGCCCAGUGAUAGUUAAACGGUUGCGGUAUCCUGACCGUGCAAAGGUAGCAUAAUAAUUUGCCUUUUAAUUAGUGGCUAGAAUGAAUGGUUUGAUAAAAAUAUAACUGUCUCUAUACAACUUUAAUGAAUUUACUUUUUAGGUGAAGAAGCCUAAAUAAAAUUAAAAGACGAGAAGACCCUGUCGAGCUCUAAUAGUUCCAUAUAAAUUUAAAAAUAUAUUUAUAUAAGUUUUGAUUUUUUAUGUAUAUUUUAGUUGGGGCGAAUGAGGAACAAAAAAAACUUCCUUUAGUAUAUUAUAAAAUUAAUGAAUAUAGAUCCAAUAAUAUUGAUAAAGAGAAAUAGCUACCGCAGGGAUAACAGCAUUAUUUUUUUUAAGAGACUCAUAUCGAAAAAAAAGAUUGUGACCUCGAUGUUGGAUCAAAAUAUCCUAAGAUGAUGUAGACGUCUGUAACGGUUGGUC